rnacentral:rRNA from 1 species
UGGGGAAUAUUGCACAAUGGGCGCAAGCCUGAUGCAACAACGCCGCGUGAGGGAUGACGGCCUUCGGGUUGUAAACCUCUUUUAGCAGGGAAGAAGCGAAAGUGACGGUACCUGCAGAAAAAGCACCGGCUAACUACGUGCCAGCAGCCGCGGUAAUACGUAGGGUGCAAGCGUUGUCCGGAAUUAUUGGGCGUAAAGAGCUCGUAGGCGGUCUGUCGCGUCUGCUGUGAAAUCCCGAGGCUCAACCUCGGGCCUGCAGUGGGUACGGGCAGACUAGAGUGCGGUAGGGGAGAAUGGAACUCCUGGUGUAGCGGUGGAAUGCGCAGAUAUCAGGAAGAACACCGAUGGCGAAGGCAGUUCUCUGGGCCGUAACUGACGCUGAGGAGCGAAAGCGUGGGGAGCGAACAGGAUUAGAUACCCUGGUAGUCCACGCCGUAAACGUUGGGCGCUAGAUGUGGGGACCAUUCCACGGUUUCCGUGUCGCAGCUAACGCAUUAAGCGCCCCGCCUGGGGAGUACGGCCGCAAGGCUAAAACU